rnacentral:lncRNA from 1 species
GUUAUUAAAGUGGCAGAGAUGGAGAGGAGAGCUUUCCCAGAUAAAUCAGCUUACUUGCUCUGGGCUCCCUUCCCAUUACCCCACCCACUGGAAAGCACUCCCUGGGGGAGGAAAUGAAGGACUGAGAAAUGCUUGCAGAAGCCUUGUCUCCUUGGACCAAUAACUCCUCAGCCCCAGAACUCCAUCACACCUUCUAGUCCAGCUCCUGGUAACUCACUUUGUACUCUGCUUCCGUGAGAUCUUUCAAACAUCUUCAAUAAAGAUGAGGUUAUGAGGCCACGCUGUGUUUGCUUCCUUGCUGAACUUAUUGGCCCAGGUCAUCAUGGAUGUAAGGAUGCCACAUGUGUGAAGCUAGCCUGGCUGCCUAGCCCAUGGGAUCUGCCUGCCUCCUCUCCACCAGCACUGAUGUUACAUGUGUGGAUGCCUGGCGUCAAGGUGAAUGUUGGGGAUCUGAAUUCAGAUCCUCCUGUUUGUGCAGCAAACAUUUUACCCACUGAGUCAUCUCCCUAUCAUCUGCCCUUGACCCUCCUUGAACUGCACUGAAUUUCUACCCUUUGACACCCCUGCUGAAUCCUAAGCUGAAAUCUGUCCAGCACUUCAUGGAACAGGGCAGCUACAUAUCUUACUCUGACUACUACAGAUGUUGUGAACACCUUGAGCGAAACCCACUUCUGGACCUGUGCAGACAGUUUCCUGGUAUGUGUGGGCACAUGGGAAUGCUGGGAAGACUAAGAAAGCAUUAAAGAUCCAGAGGCUGGAAAAUGUAAGAGGAUUGAAACUUUUAAAAGAAGGCGACUUCUCCUGAAUCAUCAUUUUCUUUAAGGGUGGACAGUCUUUGAAGGAAAAAAAAGACAGUUUGAUAAAUGAAUAUUUUCAAUGAUGGGUUAAGGAAUACUAAGGCUGAUCUGUGGGGUAAGUUUAAGGUUUGGUGUCUUGUCUUGGAAAAAUACUCAGCUAUUUUAUUCUUCUUACCAGGCUUCAGGCAUGAGCAGCUAGGAGCCUGUGGAGGGAAGGAAGUCUUGUUCGAAGCCAAGUAGACACACCCAUAACUAUUAAAAUAAUGUUUCUCUGUUUGGAUGUAGUAAAUGGCCUCAAGCUCCUGUGAACAUGUGCAGAGACCCUGCAUCUAUGGGAAGACCUGUUGUGUUAUUUUUUACAGUAGGCCGAGAUAUAUUUGGAAGCCACUGGACUGUGGCUGUUCUACAUCAAAAGGCAUGUCACAACAGAACAGCACCAUGCCCCAUUUACAGGAAUAGCAUGCAAAGCUCUGGCUGCUGAGGGCAAAUAAAAUGUGUUCUUGUAACAUAAACAGCUUCACCUUCCCUCUGAGGACUGAAGGGCCAUGAAAGAUUUAUUUAUGUGGGUUUUUGAAACAUGAGGACACGUGCAAAAACAUGUUAAACACACAUUCAAGCACACAGACAGUUGAGGAGGCUAGUAAGUAUAGAAGAAUGAUUGUCCAAAGUGAAAUCUAAAUUCUAGAAUCUUCUGGUAGGUAAUAUUGGAGAAGAAAAUAUCAAAGGCACAAAGGACAUUAGAAGGCACCUCAUUAUUUUCUGCUUUGUUCCCUAGUGAUUUUUGGAAAGGUAAAAUGAAAGUCAAAUCAAAACUAAAUUCCUCAUCUUAAAUGUCUUAACAUCUAGUCUCAGGGUAUCACAUAUAUUCAUAAUUUUGUGUAACUAUCAUCACCAUCCAUCUCUAUUAGUUUCUUGUAAAACCAAACAUUUAUAGUCAUUUAACACUUAAGCUCCAAUUCCCCAUCAACUCCAGCCCCUGGCAACCGCCUUAUAACUUUCUACUCCUAUGACUGCUAUUAUCCUAUGUAAUGGCUUAUCUUGGUUGCCAACCUGAAGCACUGGGAAGAGGAAAACUAUCAAAGAAUUGUCUCCAUCAAGUGAGUAUAUUUAUUGACAAGUGGGGGGGGGUAGCAUUUUCUUGAUUGCUGAUUGACAUAAAAGGGCCUAGCCCACUAUGGGGGAAGCCAGGCAUAUGAGCUCAGCUGGAUAACAUAGGUAACUGCUGGUGAGCUCAGAAGCAAGACAGUAAGCAGCAUACCUCUAUGGUCUCUGUUUCAUGUUCCUUCUCUGCUUCCCUUGAUGACUGAACUGUAUAAUAGUAUAAGCCUUUUCUUCCCCGAGUUGCUUUUGGUCAUGGUUUUAAUCAUAACAGACAGCAAACUAGGACACUGUGUGUAUCAAAUAAAUGGAACCUUACAAUA